CUUACUAAUUUUUCUUUUUAUUCUCGCUCUUCUCAUUUGUUGUGUCCUCCCAUGCCUAAGGAAAUUCCUGCAGAAAACCGUAGACCAAGCAACACCAACCUUCACUCAUCUGACAAUCGAUGAUCAAGAUCUCACCUCACCCUGUAUUCCGCUACAAACUCUCCCUUAUACUGAUGAAGUGCAGAAAGUCUAGGAAGGGACAGUAAAGGGACAGCGUCCGUCUUUAUGGGUAGACUGCCGUACGGAGAAGUAGUGGAUAAGCCACUAUGGGUUACCAGCGGAGUGAAGAGUGUUCCUGAACCGUACUGAUGGAUGUGCUGCAGCCUGUUAGGGUCAAGAGAGGGAUAGACUUGCACUUUGCAUUAACACUAAGUCAGCGGUCAUGGGGUUUCUGUGUCUUUGGGCUAACACAUCUUCCGAUACUAACAAAUAAAGUUUUGUCUUUUAGCAAAUAACAUUUUAGGGGGGACUGUUGUAGAAUUAUUAGGCCUCUAUAAAUCUGUAAGGCCCCUUUAAAUCCUCUUGCUAUACCUCUAAGAGGCCCCCAUAGUUUUACA